CUGGGCUACACACGUGCUACAAUGGACGGUACAAAGAGCUGCAAGACCGCGAGGUGGAGCUAAUCUCAUAAAACCGUUCUCAGUUCGGAUUGUAGGCUGCAACUCGCCUACAUGAAGCUGGAAUCGCUAGUAAUCGCGGAUCAGCAUGCCGCGGUGAAUACGUUCCCGGGCCUUGUACACACCGCCCGUCACACCACGAGAGUUUGUAACACCCGAAGUCGGUGGGGUAACCUUUUUGGAGCCAGCCGCCUAAGGUGGGACAGAUGAUUGGGGUGAAGUCGUAACAAGGUAGCCGUAUCGGAAGGUGCGGUUGGAUCACC
rnacentral:rRNA from 1 species